GAGCACCUCACCAUGUCUACUUUUCCACUCUCCAAGAAGCAGGGAAGGAUCUUUCCACCUCCAUCCUGGGAACCUGAUGGGGCUCCUGGAGCCCAAAGCCUGGCAUUAGGUUUCACUGGGCUGCCCUGGGUCAGGUGCCCAUCCCCAAGGAGAGAGGAGUCGAUGCCAGGAGAGCUACAGAAACCAGGCUCGGGUGGAAGACAAAGUUUGCGACCUGUCACCCAAUUUUACAAAUGACUAAUUUUUAAGCAAGAUAUGUGUCAAUGCAGCUUCUUCUGGAAAGCAGUGAGAGAAAAAUCCAGUUUCCUCUCAGACAGCAGAUCACGAAUGAACACUUGGAAAAGGAAAAAUAUCAAAUGUUGCAUCAAAGUACAUUGGA